rnacentral:hammerhead_ribozyme from 1 species
AUCCAAUUGACGAGUCCCAAAUUGGACGAAACGCGCGUCAAACUGGAU